GUCGCUAUAGCAACCGGGACAGCUACUUGAGGACUCCGGAGUUCCGUCCACCUGAGGCGGGAGCAGGGCGGCCCGGGAUGUGGCCUCGUGCCUGAGGCCUGAGGGGCAAAGAUUGUGAGGGACGCAGCACCCUGGCUUUGCCUGCCAACCUUGGAGCCAACUUCUGAAGGACGCAACUGCAGAUUUAGGGAUGGGCCCGGUCUGAUGACACCAACAGAGAAGUAAAGAGUUGCAGUGCUGCUAAGGAUGCCCCACAAACCAAGAAAUAAGUGCCCGGAGGAAGUGUCUCUAUGCGAAUGUGUGGUGUGACGGAAAGGAAGGGAGCAAGGAGAAGCCAGACCCUGAAAGGCAUCAUUUGGGAAGCACCCCUACUGUUUGGCUUCCCAAGGCAGAUGCGAAAUGGAAGAGAGGAACUUAGUUUCAGGAGAUGGCACGUGGCAAUGUCAGCCUUGGUGUCAGGAGCAGGAAGGAGGAACAGCAGCCUCGAUCCAGCAGCCCCUCUUGACAUCCAGUGGCACCUCACACUGCAUACCCCCAGAGCUGAACUCUGGACUCCCAUCCUCACGGUCUGCUCCUCCUUUAGAAUUCCACAAGUCCACAGCAGCUGCAGCCUUCUACUGCCCCACCCAUCUGUGGAGCCAUCUUUGACCCCAGACUCUUGUUUCACAGCUACAGCAAAUCCUGCUGACUCAGCCUUCAGGAUACAGCCAGGGUCUGACUGCUUCUCCCCGUUUCCAUGACUACCACCCUGGGCCAAGCCCCAUCAUCCCUCACUUGCACAUUGUAAUAGCCUGACCCAUCUCUGUGCUUCUGCCCUUGACCCUCCACAGGCUAUUCUCCCCACAGCAGCCAGAGUGACUUUUGGGGUUUAAUUAGCUCACUUUUUUCUUGUUUGCUUUUUUGGGACAAGAUCUUAAACUCCUGGGCUUAAGCCAUCCUCUCACCUCAGCCUCCCAAGUAGCUAGGCUCCAGGAAUGUGCCAUGGCACGUGGAUGAGAUCUAUUCUUUUCUUUUCUUUGCAGGGGUAGGAAUUAAAGCUGUGGUCUCAUAUAAGCAUUUACUCUGUCACUGAGCUAUUACCCUCUGCUCCUCUGGUUUCUUUUAUCUCAGAGUAAAAGCCAAGUCCUUUGCAUGGCACAUUGGUUGCACGGAACCUCUGCCCUGCUCUCCCUUCCCCUGCAGAGCCACUCUGGGCUUUUUGAGGUUUCAAACAUGCUCAACUCUCUCACGCUCGGUAGCAUCUUCUAACGGGUGUCCCUGACCUCCUCAAGGGCUUUUCCUGGUCUCCAUCUGUAACAGCAGAAUGACGUGUGCAGUGCCAGGUGCCGUGCAUUAGAACUCAGAUCUCCUGGCUUCUGGACUGGGGCUCUUUCCACUGCAUCUGAGGAUUUGUAAAACAGGAGGCGGGGUUCCCAGCCUCUCACCCCUACUCUAAUCAGAACAGCUGUACUACUUUAUGCAUUGGAGUUCCAGGGUAUAUUUGAUUUGAAAUAAUGAUUCAGGUGCUUAAAAAAAGUUUGAAAAGCAUUGCCAGAAUUAUAUGCUUUGAAGUCCGUAGGUUCUAGGAGAUUUCUGUCAUCAUGGAUUUUAUUUUGAUAAUAUGUAAAUUCUGUUACUAAUAAUAAAAAUAGAUUUUUUUCCAGUGGUAAUUUAUGAAGGAUAAUUUUUUUUUUUUUGGUACCAGGGAUCGAACUUGGGACCUUCCAUUUGCGAGGCAGGCGGUGUAACCACUGAGCUAAAUCCCCGGGCCCUAUGAAGGAUAAUUUUCACUACAACUAUAGUUUUGUUUUGUUUUGGUUCUGGGGCUUGAACUCGGGACAUUGUGCUUGCGAGGCAGGCGGCGGCACCACCAAGCUAAAUCCCCGGCCCGAACUAUAGUUUCUUAAGUAGGAUUUUCUCAAACUGGGGUCCACAGACCCAAAGUGUCUAGUUUAUUCUUCAAUAUUGGAAAUAUUUUGUUUCUUUUAAUUUCUUUUUCUUUUUAAUUUUUUUUGACACAGGGUCUUGCUACGUAGCCCAGGCUGGCCUUGAACUCCCACUGAUCCUUCUGUUU